AUACGGAGGGUCCAAGCGUUAUCCGGAUUCAUUGGGUUUAAAGGGUGCGCAGGCGGGCUUGUAAGUCAGUGGUGAAAUACUGCCGCUUAACGGUAGAACUGCCAUUGAUACUGCAAGUCUUGAAUAUGGUUGAGGUAGGCGGAAUGUGUUGUGUAGCGGUGAAAUGCAUAGAUAUGACACAGAACGCCAAUUGCGAAGGCAGCUUACUAAGCCAUUAUUGACGCUGGGGCACGAAAGCGUGGGGAGCGAACAGGAUUAGAAACCCCAGUAGUCC
rnacentral:rRNA from 1 species